GGUUCACUUUGGAAUUCUAAAGUUGAAACGGGUUGAAUCGGACAAAAAUUGUAAAAGUUAGAGCAAAUGUUGAAUUCCCCAUAGAGAAUGAAUGGGAAUUGUAAAAAAAAUUGUGCCACAAUUUUUUUAAAUUUGGAACGAAACGAAAAUUACAGGUUUAAGAGGUUCACUUUGGAAUUCUAAAGUUGAAAUGGGUUGAAUCGGAAAUAAAAUUGUAAAAAUUAGAGCAAAUGUUUAAUUUAGGGCACUUCUGGUUGAAAUAAGGUCACUUCCGGUUUAUUUGCGUCACUUCCGGUUUAAUUUAGUUUACUUACGGUUUAUUUGGGUCACUUCCGGUUUAAAAAGGUCACUUCCGGUCUAGUUGGGGUCACUUCCGGUUUGAUUUGGGGCACUUCCGGUUCAUUCUGGGUUCAUUGGGGGCACUUCAGGGUCAAUCCAAGAUGGCCGCCACACUGGAAGUGGGGGUCAAGGGUUGAAUUGUGUAAGCAUAGUGGAAGUGGGGGUGAAUGGGGGUGU